UUUAAUUCGAUGCAACGCGAAGAACCUUACCUACCCUUGACAUCGUGCGAACUUUCCAGAGAUGGAUUGGUGCCUUCGGGAACGCACAGACAGGUGCUGCAUGGCUGUCGUCAGCUCGUGUUGUGAAAUGUUGGGUUAAGUCCCGUAACGAGCGCAACCCUUGUCCUUAUUUGCCAGCGAGUCAUGUCGGGAACUCUAAGGAGACUGCCGGUGACAAACCGGAGGAAGGUGGGGACGACGUCAAGUCAUCAUGGCCCUUACGGGUAGGGCUACACACGUGCUACAAUGGCCGGUACAAAGGGUUGCGAAGCCGCGAGGUGGAGCUAAUCCCGAAAAGCUGGUCUCAGUCCGGAUCGGAGUCUGCAACUCGACUCCGUGAAGUCGGAAUCGCUAGUAAUCGUGAAUCAGAAUGUCA
rnacentral:rRNA from 1 species